GAUGAACGCUGGCGGCGUGCCUAAUACAUGCAAGUCGAGCGAACAGACGAGGAGCUUGCUCCUCUGACGUUAGCGGCGGACGGGUGAGUAACACGUGGAUAACCUACCUAUAAGACUGGGAUAACUUCGGGAAACCGGAGCUAAUACCGGAUAAUAUAUUGAACCGCAUGGUUCAAUAGUGAAAGACGGUUUUGCUGUCACUUAUAGAUGGAUCCGCGCCGCAUUAGCUAGUUGGUAAGGUAACGGCUUACCAAGGCAACGAUGCGUAGCCGACCUGAGAGGGUGAUCGGCAACACUGGAACUGAGACACGGUCGAGACUCCGACGGGAGGCAGCAGUAGGGAAUAUUGCGCAAUGGGCGAAAGCCUGACGGAGCAACGCAGCGUGAGUGAUGAAGGUCUUCGGAUCGUAAAACUCUGUUAUUAGGGAAGAACAAAUGUGUAAGUAACUAUGCACGGCUGGACGGUACCUAAUCAGAAAGGCACGGCUAACUACGUG
rnacentral:rRNA from 1 species